AUUGAACGCUGGCGGCAGGCCUAACACAUGCAAGUCGAGCGGUUGGCGGGAGCUUGCUCCCUGAUUCAGCGGCGGACGGGUGAGUAAUGCCUAGGAAUCUGCCUAUUAGUGGGGGACAACGUUUCGAAAGGAACGCUAAUACCGCAUACGUCCUACGGGAGAAAGCAGGGGACCUUCGGGCCUUGCGCUAAUAGAUGAGCCUAGGUCGGAUUAGCUUGUUGGUGAGGUAAUGGCUCACCAAGGCGACGAUCCGUAACUGGUCUGAGAGGAUGAUCAGUCACACUGGAACUGAGACACGGUCCAGACUCCUACGGGAGGCAGCAGUGGGGAAUAUUGGACAAUGGGCGAAAGCCUGAUCCAGCCAUGCCGCGUGUGUGGAGAAGGUCUUCGGAUUGUAAAGCACUUUAAGUUGGGAGGAAGGGUUGUAGAUUAAUACUCCGCAAUUUUGACGUUACCGACAGAAUAAGCACCGGCUAACUCUGUGCCAGCCGCCGCGGUAA
rnacentral:rRNA from 1 species